rnacentral:rRNA from 1 species
AAAAUCGCAAGAUGACGUAUACGGUGUGACGCCUGCCCGGUGCCGGAAGGUUAAUUGAUGGGGUUAGCGCAAGCGAAGCUCUUGAUCGAAGCCCCGGUAAACGGCGGCCGUAACUAUAACGGUCCUAAGGUAGCGAAAUUCCUUGUCGGGUAAGUUCCGACCUGCACGAAUGGCGUAAUGAUGGCCACGCUGUCUCCACCCGAGACUCAGUGAAAUUGAAAUCGCUGUGAAGAUGCAGUGUACCCGCGGCUAGACGGAAAGACCCCGUGAACCUUUACUACAGCUUGGCACUGAACAUUGAACCUACAUGUGUAGGAUAGGUGGGAGGCUAUGAAGACGUGACGCUAGUUGCGUUGGAGCCGUCCUUGAAAUACCACCCUUGUAUGUUUGAUGUUCUAACUUAGACCCGUUAUCCGGGUUGAGGACAGUGCCUGGUGGGUAGUUUGACUGGGGCGGUCUCCUCCCAAAGAGUAACGGAGGAGCACGAAGGUGGGCUAAUCACGGUUGGACAUCGUGAGGUUAGUGCAAUGGCAUAAGCCCGCUUAACUGCGAGAAUGACGGUUCGAGCAGGUGCGAAAGCAGGUCAUAGUGAUCCGGUGGUUCUGUAUGGAAGGGCCAUCGCUCAACGGAUAAAAGGUACUCCGGGGAUAACAGGCUGAUACCGCCCAAGAGUUCAUAUCGACGGCGGUGUUUGGCACCUCGAUGUCGGCUCAUCACAUCCUGGGGCUGAAGUCGGUCCCAAGGGUAUGGCUGUUCGCCAUUUAAAGUGGUACGCGAGCUGGGUUUAGAACGUCGUGAGACAGUUCGGUCCCUAUCUGCCGUGGGCGUUGGAAGAUUGAAGGGGGCUGCUCCUAGUACGAGAGGACCGGAGUGGACGAACCUCUGGUGUUCGGGUUGUGUCGCCAGACGCAUUGCCCGGUAGCUAAGUUCGGAAUUGAUAAGCGCUGAAAGCAUCUAAGCGCGAAGCGAGCCCUGAGAUGAGUCUUCCCUGACGGUUUAACCGUCCUAAAGGGUUGUUCGAGACUAGAACGUUGAUAGGCAGGGUGUGUAAGCGUUGUGAGGCGUUGAGCUAACCUGUACUAAUUGCCCGUGAGGCUUAACCAUACAACACCCAAGGGGUUUUGUA